UGGUGGAGUGAUUUGUCUGGUUAAUUCCGUUAACGAACGAGACCUCGACCUGCUAAAUAGACUGGCGAAUCCUUUUUUGGGGUUCGAUUUCUUCCAGUACUUCUUAGAGGGACUAUCGGUGUUCUAGCCGAUGGAAGUUCGAGGCAAUAACA
rnacentral:rRNA from 1 species